UACGUAGGGGGCUAGCGUUGUCCGGAAUCAUUGGGCGUAAAGGGCGUGUAGGCGGUCCGGUAAGUCCGCUGUGAAAGUCGGGGGCUCAACCCUCGAAUGCCGGUGGAUACUGUCGGGCUAGAGUGCGGAAGAGGCGAGUGGAAUUCCUGGUGUAGCGGUGAAAUGCGCAGAUAUCAGGAGGAACACCUAUUGCGAAGGCAGCUCGCUGGGACGUGACUGACGCUGAGACGCGAAAGCGUGGGGAGCAAACAGG
rnacentral:rRNA from 1 species